CCAUAGGAUAAAUAAUGGUUGAGAGAUUGAAGAUGCUGAGAAUCUCGUCUUGUAGAAAGAUGGAUCCUUGUCCUGGACCUAAGAAGUUGCUCCGGCUCUCAAGAGUUUACAACUCACAAGGCAGCACCUACUCUGUCUUACCAAUUAGCGACUGUGUCUUGGGUAAAGAGGAAUGGUGAUUAGAGCCAACAAGCAUAUGGAUUUUCUGACACUUGUAACUAAGUGGUGUUGAAGAUGAGGAAGUAAGCAACAUAAUAAAAGAUGACAAUGUUCAACGAAGCUGUUUAAGUAAUUGGUAAAGGAUGCUUGUGAGAACCGUGAGAUACACUCGUGGAAGCUUCUUACUCUGGUUUGAAUAUAUUAGUCUCAUAAGAGGAGGCAUUGACAAUCAAAGCAGCAUGGAAAUCGUGGUACUUUGAUUAGGCAUUGUUAACUUCACAAAAUGGCUCGUGCUAGCCAGUAAUUAUAUUAUCUUCUUUAAGUAAAGUUU